rfam:Danio rerio chromosome 9, GRCz11 reference primary assembly.
CUUGUCCUCAUGUGUUAGUCGCUUUGGAUAAAAGCGUCUGCUAAAUGACUGAAU